CAGCCGCCGCGGUAACACGAAGGGGGCUAGCGUUGUUCGGAUUUACUGGGCGUAAAGGGCGCGUAGGCGGACUGAUAAGUCAGGGGCGAAAUCCCAAGGCUCAACCUUGGAACUGCCUUUGAAACUAGAUGACUGGAAUCUUGGAGAGGUCAGUGGAAUUCCGAGUGUAGAGGUGAAAUUCGUAGAUAUUCGGAAGAACACCAGUGGCGAAGGCGACUGACUGGACAAGUAUUGACGCUGAGGUGCGAAAGCGUGGGGAGCAAACAGGAUUAGAUACCCCAGUAGUCCCUGUCUCUUAUAC
rnacentral:rRNA from 1 species